rnacentral:lncRNA from 1 species
GGCACACACAAACACAUACACGCUCACAGAGGAGGUGGGGGUCGCUUUUUGCAAGAGACGCCGAGGUAAAACAAGACAGUGGGAGAUUUUGAUAAGAUCUGGCGAGAACACUGUGAGGAUGAAGAAACUCUUUGUGAAUAUGCCGUUGCAAUGAAAAAUUUGGCAGAUAAUCAUUGGGCAAAAACUUGUGAGGGCGAAGGUCGUAUUGAAUGGUGUUGUAGUGUAUGCAGAGAAUAUUUCCAAAAUGGUGGGAAGAGAAAAGCACUUGAGAAAGAUGAAAAAAGAGCUGUACUUGCCACUAAGACCACUCCAGCCUUAAAUAUGCAUGAGUCUUCUCAACUUGAAGGUCAUUUAACCAACCUCAGCUUUACAAACCCUGAAUUUAUAACUGAGUUGCUACAAGCCUCAGGAAAAAUCAGAUUACUUGAUGUUGGCAGCUGCUUUAACCCAUUUCUGAAGUUUGAAGAAUUUCUAACUGUUGGCAUAGAUAUUGUACCUGCUGUAGAGAGUGUCUAUAAAUGUGAUUUC